rnacentral:lncRNA from 1 species
GGAUGGGAUGGGGACAUUGGGAUCGGGACACUGGGAUCGGGACAUUGGGAUCGGGACAUUGGGAUGGGGACACUGGGAUCGGGAUCAGGACACUGGGAUCGGGACACUGGGAUCGGGACACUGGGAUCAACCCUCUUGGGAUGGGAUUGGGACACUGGGAUUGGGACACUGGGAUCGGGACACUGGGAUUGGGACACUGGGAUCGGGAUCGGGACACUGGGAUCGGGACACUGGGAUUGGGACAUUGGGAUCAACCCUCUUGGGAUGGGAUUGGGACACUGGGAUGGGGACACUGGGAUCGGGACAUUGGGAUGGGAUCGGGACACUGGGGUGGGAUCGGGACACUGGGAUCGGGACACUGGGAUGGGAUCGGGACACUGGGAUGGGAUCGGGACACUGGGAUUGGGACACUGGGAUGGGAUGGGGACACUGGGAUCGGGACACUGGGAUGGGGACACUGGGAUUGGGACACUGGGAUGGGGUCGGGACACUGGGGUGGGAUCGGGACACUGGGAUCGGGACACUGGGAUGGGAUCGGAACACUGGGAUUGGGACACUGGGAUGGGGACACUGGGAUCGGGACAUUGGGAUGGGAUCGGGACACUGGGAUGGGAUCGGGACACUGGGAUGGGGACACUGGGAUGGGAUCAGGACACUGGGAUCGGGACACUGGGGUGGGAUGGGGACACUGGGAUCGGCUCACUGGGAUGGGAUCAGGACUCUGGGAUCAACCCUGUCAGGAUAGGAUCGGCUCACUGGGAUCAGCUCGCUGGGGUGGGAUUGGCUCACUGGGAUUGGGACACUGGGAUCAACUCCCUCGGGAUGGGAUCGGCUCACUGGAAUGGGAUCAGCACAGUGGGAUGGGAUCUGGGAUGGGAUCACCCCACUGGGAUGGGAUCACAUCACAGGGAUGGGAUCUGCGAUGGGAUCAACCCCAUUGGAACGGGAUCUGGGAUGGGAUCACCCCAAAUCCUGAGGGAGAUCCCAAACUCUGGGUGAUCCUCAAUUCCGGGGGAUCCCAAAUUCCGGGGAAUCCAAACUUUGGGGGAUCCCAAACCCUGAGGGAAUCCCAAACCCAGGGAUCAGAACCCUCCAUAAUGAGGGGCAAAAAACACCCCCAAAAUGGGAAAGAAAAGGGGGAAAAAACCCAAAAAGCGAGGAAAACAUUCCCAAAAUAGAAACUAGAAUGGAAAACACCCCUAAAACACGGGGAAUACCCCAAUAAUGGGGAGUGGGGCAGGAAAAACACCCCCAAAAGAGCGAGAAAAACAUCCCAAAAAUAGAAACGAGGGGGCGAAACACCCCAAUAACGAGGAGGGGACCGAAAAAAUCCCCCUUAAAUGGGGGAACCCCCUCAUAAUGAAGCAGCGCCGCUCCCCUCAGCCCCAAACCGGCCGAGCCCGGCCCCUCCGGGGGAUCCCGGUCCGGAGACCCCCGGGAUGAGGCGACCGCGGCCCCCUCAGGC